CCUACGGGUGGCAGCAGUGGGGAAUAUUGGGCAAUGGGCGCAAGCCUGACCCAGCAACGCAGCGUGAAGGAAGAAGGCUCUCCGGUUGUAAACUUCUUUUCCCAGGGACGAAACAAGUGACGGUACCUGAGGAAUAAGCCACGGCUAACUACGUGCCAGCAGCCGCGGUAAUACGUAGGUGGCAAGCGUUAUCCGGAUUUACUGGGUGUAAAGGGCGUGUAGGCGGGACUGCAAGUCAGAUGUGAAAACUACGGGCUCAACCUGUGGCCUGCAUUUGAAACUGUAGUUCUUGAGUACUGGAGAGGCAGACGGAAUUCCUAGUGUAGCGGUGAAAUGCGUAGAUAUAAGGAGGAACACCAGUGGCGAAGGCGGUUUGCUGGACAGCAACUGACGCUGAGGCGCGAAAGCGUGGGGAGCAAACAGGAUUAGAUACCCCAGUAGUC
rnacentral:rRNA from 1 species